GACGAACGCUGGCGGCGUGCUUAACACAUGCAAGUCGAACGAUGAACCGGAGCUUGCUCUGGGGAUUAGUGGCGAACGGGUGAGUAACACGUGGGCAACCUGCCCCAGACACCGGGAUAACCAUUCGAAAGGAUGGCUAAUACCGGAUACGACCACUUCGGGCAUCCGAUGGUGGUGGAAAGGAUUCUGGUCUGGGAUGGGCCCGCGGCCUAUCAGCUUGUUGGUGGGGUAAUGGCCUACCAAGGCGACGACGGGUAGCCGGCCUGAGAGGGGGACCGGCCACACUGGGACUGAGACACGGCCCAGACUCCUACGGGAGGCAGCAGUGGGGAAUAGUGCGCAAUGGGCGAAAGCCUGACGCAGCGACGCCGCGUGAGGGACGAAGGUCUUCGGAUUGUAAACCUCUUUCAGCAGGGAUGAAGCGAAAGUGACAGUACCUGCAGAAGAAGCACCGGCUAACUACGUGCCAGCCGCCGCCGUAAUAC
rnacentral:rRNA from 1 species